UUGGCCAAUGGGGGCAUUAGCCCAAUAAUAUAACCUUCGGGGUUGUAUUUAGGUUGUAUCUCUUCAAUUUAUUAAAUUGAAAUAUUAAAAUUUAAAGAUGAGGAUGUUGUUCAUUUCUUUCUGAGGUGGUUAAGAAAAUUUUUCUUUUAGGUUUUUUAUUUUAUUUUUUUUAAUGUUUUAUGGUUCUGAAGGUGUCACAUCAGUCUAUUCACUUUUGUUUUCGUUUUGAUAAUUGCAAAAUAAUAUCAUGUUGCUUGAUUAAAAAUGAGUUGAUAUAACACAAGUUAAAUUAUGGGAUCAAACAUCAACACCUAAAAUAUAGCAGAUGGGCUUCAAAUGGGUUCUGCAAUGGACGGUCAUUUCGCCUGUCAAAUUUUAACUUUGCCUAUUUUAGUGCCAAUUAUAGCACCAGAAAUGGCAAUUGCUAUUUGCGAACCCGCUCCUAUUUCGCUCAUAUUCUAGGGCAACAGAGAGAGAGAGAGAUGAGAAAGGCGGCAACAGACGGCGACUAGCGACAGAGAGAGAAGAGAACGGUUGCUAUUUCUCGAUCAAACCCCACCACCAGCAACCCGAUCAGAGCUCGACCUCAGCCCUGCCCUCCUCUCUCCCUCUCUCUCUCUCCUACAUCACGCACUCUCUCCUCAAACCAUAGACAACUCGCCUACACCAUAACCACUCCUCCGUCGCUUUGAAACUCUAGAAGGAAGCAACAGAUUGUAUAGCUUUCUGCUGCACAUUCAGAUAAUGUUUCUAUAUGAGUGGUUUUGAUAGAAGGCUUGCUGAAGUAAUAUAUUUUGAAGAUCAAAGAGAAGCUGCCUGCUCAUGUGUUGAUUAGAUUUGGCUUUUAGGCUAAUAAGUUUCCUAAUCUUUUAGUUUGUUUUGAUGUCUUUUUGCUGGGAGUGAAAUGUAUCCAUUCCUAUUUAUGUAUUGGAGUUUAUCUCCUUGUGUAAUUGUAUUAUUUUGGUUAUAUUUAUAAAAACACGCCAUUCAGGGGGAAAAAAAAAAAUCUGUGUGGAUGGAAUAUUUAUUCUGAAA